AUCCUUUUGUAGCUCUUAAAAGUGAUGAUUGGGUUUUCACGUGCAUGCGUGAUAUGCCUCUCGCAAAUCUUGUUAUGACAUCAGCACAUGACCCGUCUGACA